UACGUAGGGUGCGAGCGUUGUCCGGAUUUAUUGGGCGUAAAGGGCUCGUAGGUGGUUGAUCGCGUCGGAAGUGUAAUCUUGGGGCUUAACCCUGAGCGUGCUUUCGAUACGGGUUGACUUGAGGAAGGUAGGGGAGAAUGGAAUUCCUGGUGGAGCGGUGGAAUGCGCAGAUAUCAGGAGGAACACCAGUGGCGAAGGCGGUUCUCUGGGCCUUUCCUGACGCUGAGGAG
rnacentral:rRNA from 1 species